rnacentral:rRNA from 1 species
UACGAAGGGGGCUAGCGUUGUUCGGAAUUACUGGGCGUAAAGCGCGCGCAGGCGGUCUUCCAAGUCAGUGGUGAAAGCCCGGAGCUCAACUCCGGAACUGCCAUUGAAACUGUGAGACUUGAGGAUGAGAGAGGUGAGUGGAAUUUCCGGUGUAGCGGUGAAACGCGUAGAUAUCGGAAGGAACACCUGUGGCGAAAGCGGCUCACUGGACCAUAACUGACGCUGAGGCGCGAAAGCUAGGGGAGCAAACAGG